rnacentral:rRNA from 1 species
CCCUUAGAUGUUCUGGGCCGCACGCGCGCUACAAUGGCAGACUCAGCGAGUUACCUCUGUCGAAAGGCACAGGGAAUCUUUACAGUAUCUGCCGUGAUGGGGAUAGACCCUUGUAAUUUUUGGUCUUCAACGAGGAAUUCCUAGUAAACGCAAGUCAUUAACUUGCAUUGAUUACGUCCCUGCCCUUUGUACACACCGCCCGUCGCACCUACCGAUUGAAUGGUCUGGUGAAGUCCUCGGACCCAGUUGAACCUCGAGUUGAACAGGGAAAGUUGACUAAAUCUUACCAUUUAGAGGAAGGUGAAGUCGUAACA